GUGUACGUAAAUUUAUUGUUAACUUAGUGUCUUAUUUGCAACUAUUACUAUUACCAUUAGUUGUGAUGAUGGCAGCGUUUAAAGAUGUAGACGUUUUGGGGGCUGCACCCUCGUUUUUAAGGAAUUAAAGUUUAUUGCGCAACCAAAUCUAGAACAAGGAAAGCAACAACAAGGAUUUUCAAUGCCGAAAAAACAUAAAACAGUUCGCCACGAGGCCGGACACC